rnacentral:lncRNA from 1 species
GGGGCAUCAUUAGAUAUGUAUACGUGCUUCUAUACGUCAAUACGUGGUCCCGUCGACGUCUGGCCUCCUGAUCCUGUAGCCGCCUCGGCCUCCUGUCGCUAGCGGCUUCGCCCGAUCUGGCCGCCUGUAAGCCUGUUCUGCGUGCACGAGUGGAGCCUGGAUCGAAGAGACGAAGACAGGCCCUGAUCGAAGAGACGAAGACUGCAGGUCUGCAGCCAGGGCACAGGUGCAGUGGAGAUCGCUCAAAACAAAAGUCAUCGGCCCGAACAGGACUGCAGCCAGGUGCAGUGGAGUCGUGGAGAUCGACCUGCAGUGGAGAAUUGGAGAUCGGCAGCUGCGGCAGAUCACUGCGCGUCUGCGGCUCUGCGCCCAGGGCGCCCGAACCCUAUUCUGGCGUCGCAGACUGCUUGAUUCUCCCUCCUAGUGCCCUGCAUCUAAUGAUCUGAUUUACUCACGGAGUCACGAUUUCAUCUGCUUUACUCACGGUAUGAUUUAUCAAUUAUCAUCUGAGCCUAGUGCCCUAAUUCUUUUGACUCAGUUAUUCACUUGAGCUGAUAAUUCUAUGGAAACUGCAACCUUAGGUGUUCCAAUGCCGCCGAAACACAAGUCCGGCUCUGAGAAAAGGAAACAAAAAAAAGAAAGAGAAUGAACUCAUUGAAUCAGAAAAAGGUGCUGUAAAAAGGUAUUUUCCG